CUUUUGGGGGGUAUAGCUUGUCUUUAUUUUGUACACCGGAUACACUAAAAAAAAAGAGAUAUUUAUAGUUUUUUUUAACCAUGUAUGAAAAUAUAUUACUUCAAAGUAUUUCUUAGGUUUAAUACAUGCAUUGUUCAUGUCCACAUCAAAAUGAAAUUUACUUACGGUAAAUCACAACUUUGGAAUUACUCAAUUAAAUCAACUGGUAGGAUAUCACAUAUAGGUCCAGCUUUGAAGAACACUCUAGAAUGGCCGUUUCGUGCAAAGGGAGGUUAUGAACAGAAC